AUGGUUACCCCAGUGAAUGCCACGCACCAUUUCCACUCUUCGAACAAACACUACAGGUCUUUUCUUUACAGCUUUUGUCUGGUUCCCCUCGUCCAACUAGGGUCAGAGCAGGACAGUAAGUGUCCUGAGUGGUUGCUGUUUUUCACACUAAGGAACUGCCUGUGCUGGUUUGGAUGUGCAGUGGAUUUUCUUUCAGGCGGCAUGUGGUGUUUAAGUCAGAGGUCAGAUCUCUCCUGCUGCCCGUCCAGUGAGGUCACAGCAUCAGACUGCUACGCCUGACUGUCUUCUGGAGCCACCAUCCAUAAUCUAAAGAACCCAGGGAAGAGGCCAAAAACCUGUCAGUACGACACCGGCUUCAAACUGCGAAGCUGAGGAUGCCAUAGGGAACAAACUAAGGCAACCGAGCAAAUAUGAUAUUUAUACAAAUUUUCAGAUUAAAAGCAAGAUUUUUUUUGUUUGUUUGUUUUAUCUUCUACAUCUUUGAAUUGUAUCUACCAAUUCUUUGUGUAAAACAUAGCAUUCAUUUAACGUGUAAAGGCUAAAUAUCAUAAUUUAUUAUGCACAUUUUAAUUAUGAAAAAUAUCCAAUUCAUAUUUAAAUGGCAUGCACUCAAAGCAAAACUUUUUAGUUCAUAUUUUUACUUAAUUACAGCAUUGUGUUCUUUUUCAUGUUACUGAUUAUCUACAGUAUGGUAAAAUACAAAUUAAUUUCAAACUUACGUGAAACGUGUCAUCCUCUGAAUGUAGCAACAUCCAAUCACGGUGGUCUUCUGAGGUAUGGGUCUUAACUCCAACAUAUUCCUGACAAUAAAAAUUAAACAGACAUCAAAUCUGAAUUCACAAGCUUCCGGAUGUCAUCUUUUUUGCGUUUGAACGCAGAAGGCAGCAACUCAUUAGCAGAGCAAGUCCCUUCUAAUGUAUUCUAUAGUCUUUGGUACUAAGCCAGAAAACUUUUGUUUUCAAAAGAUGUCAGCUGAACUCAAAGUGGAUUUAAAAUGAGCCUAAUGUUUCUGAGAAGCAAGUAUUUGUGAAAACCUAUUUUUUCCAGACACAUUUGCCAGUCAUGUUGAUAGAUAUCUAUCAAUGACAGCACUUAAAAAGAAAGUAUUUCCUGUCGG
rnacentral:lncRNA from 1 species